CUGGAUUAUCUUCAUCGGAUUCCAAAGAUGGGUAAACUAAACCAGAAACAAAAAAUAGCUUUUAUUGCAGCAGUAUUAAACAAGAGUUUGUGAUAAAAUAUUGGCCCAAUCUAAAAGCCUCACGCUCCUGGAGAUGAGUUCCUAGGCCUUGAGCCAGCAAGAUAGUUAAGCAUAUUAACAGGAUUUCCAUCACUGCAGAACGUGUACAUUUCAGGACAAGAGGAAGUGGACUAUGCCAGGGUGGACUGAAGAGAUGGGCCCCCUCCUGAUGUCAGUGGGCCGGAGACCCAGAGCCUUUAUCUGCACAAGCAGGCUCAAUGGGGCUGAAAUCUGACGAACAGGGCCGCUCUGCAGGGGAGCCAAAGCAGGGAGGCCCCACACAGCUUCACCCGGAAGACAGCAUAGAGCACAUCCCAGAAGAGUAUCUUAAUUGAGGAUAAUAGGUAGGAGCAAGAAGCCAAAGCAGAAGAAAACAAAAACUGACUGGAGCUAGAAAUGCCAUCUCUCUGGAUUGACCCACUCCCUUCUCCUUUUCAGUUUGCAUCUCUCUAAGUGUUUGUCCUUGUGGGCACCACCAGAACCUGGGCACAGUCUUCUCUCUCUCAGAAGAGGAGUGCCCUGCCCCCUGAAGUUCCCAACAGUUGAGAGGACUUCCACAGGCAGAUGGGAUCAUUUGUAGUAGCCUCUUCAGAGACAUUUGUAACUUCAAUACAAGUUUCUAUAUUGCCAGUAGGCACCACUCAUUCAUAAACUCUCCUCCUGACAAGUUUGCAGUGUGGUAAAUAUCUUUAACUCCUACACUAAAAGAAGGUAGGGGUCAGGCCAGGUGUUUAGCUGGUGUAAAUGAGAGUAGCACCAUUGACUUCAAUGGAGCUGCUCUGAUUUCUGCCAACCAAGAAAAGAUGUCAAGUAGUGUUCACAUCGAUGUAUUUCUGACACUAUCCUCAGGGGCUACACCAAGAAAAAAAUGCAUAAAAUUCAAAACCAAAAGGAAUUAGAUUGAGUAAAAAAGAAGAAAACAGUGAUUACUGGGAUCACUUAUAACAGGGCUCCCCUUUACAAAGGGUGUCCCUUAGAAACUAAGGGUCAGAAGACUGGUGAUGGAAUAUGAUGCCUUUUUCCCUCUAUAUACAGUUCAACUAUAUACCUGGUCAGUAGUUUAUGAAAGUUAUCUCCAUUUGACAUUUAUUGGAUGGUCUAUGAGCAAUGACUGGUGGUCUUAGCUCUGCUCAGCAGACUUCAUCGCAACACCAUCAGCACAACUGACGCACAGUUGGCAGACUCAUCAGAAAAGCCAAGGGCUGAAUGGGCAUGGAGACUGAACUAGCCUUGUACCUCUGCAAGUGGUUCCAUUCAAUCAGGACUGAGCUACACUGGAUGAGCAGACUAUACCAUUUGAGGAAACUUGCAGUGCUAAUGCUUCUAUUGCUGCUGUUUUGUGAUUAGACAGAGGAAUUUUACCUCCUCACUAAAGCUCCUAUCGUCUCACUGAACACUGGUGUAAAUCAAGAGUAACUUCACAGAGGUCAGUUGAGCUACAACUGGUGUAUUUGAGAGGAGAUUCAGGCCUGCAAGAUCUCAAAUCUUUUGAAGUCGUCUCUAGCUCCAAGGCGUACAACUAGUUGCCAAUUUAUCCUGGUUUUCAAGAAGCAGGGACAACUUCCCCUUUUCUGCACAUACACCGCUACCUCAGUAUAAUGCCACCUGAUAUAACAUGAAUUUGGAUAUAACGCAGUAAAGCAGUGCUCCGGGUGGCAGGGGAAGCACACUCCGGUGGAUCAAAACAAGUUCAAUAUAACACAGUUUCACCUACAACGCGGUAAGAUUUUUUGGCUCCCAAGGACAGCGUUAUAUCGAGGUAGAGGUGUAAUUAUAUGUCUGACUUUUUUGUACCUCAGGCUACUGCUCUGCUAAUAAUAUGAGCCCCUAUCUCCCUGUCUCCAAGAAACUAGGAUUACUGAUUUUGCUACAUGGACACUAUUUUUGUUAUUCAGUCCUCUUCUUUGUUCUUGCUACAACACAAACCAAUGAAACAGAAUUAAAAAAAA